AGUUCCCUCCCCACUUUCCCUCUUCUAUUUUCCCAAGUCCUUUUUAAGUCUUUUUAUAUUCUACUUUUGUUUUGUUAUUUUGUCAAAAGAAGAACACCUCUCUCGAACACAUUGGCUCUGAAAUCUUUCUGCGAGCAACAAACUCUCUUAGAGGAGCCGAGAAUCAAAACUUUGAAAUCUGAUCUUCAGAGGUUUGAAGAACCGUGUCGAAUCUCUGAAGGAGCUCUGAACUCGGUGUCUCGAUCUCUUCAACUUGAUUCAUAGUUGCAUGAUCAAAGGUUCAAGCAACAUAUACGGGUAUUAAAUAUUGUUAGCAAUUGGCUUUAUCACAACUUAUUUUAUGUGAUAUACAAUGGCUUUCUUGAAGGUAUACCCAUUACUUACAGUGCAUUUCCAAGCUUUAUAAAUUUUUUCUUUUGGUUCAUGGCUUAGUAGAUAUAUUAUUCUUGGCUUUUGGUUUACAUAUAUCAUUCAAGAGAGACAUGCUUGAAUAGUAAUAUAUUUUUUUCUCGUUAUAUAUAUAAUAUAUAUAUAUAUAUAUAUAUAUUCUCUUUUAUCAGUUUGUCUUUUUAUUUUGAAAAGGAUAUUGGUGGCUCUGUUUGUCGAAUUAAACGUCAACUACUGUUAUUCAUAUACUAUGUCUCUUUUUUCUUGCCAACUAUACUCUAUUACUAUUCACUAAGUUUUUGAACAUGUUUGGCAAUAUAUUUUCUCUAAUCUGCAGAAAUUUGAUACACAACACAUAUAUGUACUUGCCUUUUUAGUAUCAGUUUCUUCUCUUUCAACGGAUAGUUAUAUAUCAGUUCAUUAGUAGCUUUAUAUGUGAUGUAUAAUUUUAGUUUGGUACUAUAACUUGAAAACAAAACAACGUCGUAAAGAAUUUACUGAAACUUGAAUGUAAUUGUUGUUGUGGUAAGUUUUGUUUUUCAUAUAUGAGUUUGGAGUUCUUACACUUUUAGUUGGGUAUGCAACUCUGUCAACGUUUCACUUUUGAUUGUUGGUAGUUUAACAUUUAGACCAUGACGUUUCGGAUCAAACAGUAAAGUAUAUUGAGAAAUAGAGCUUCUUGUUAAUUUCUUCAGGUGAAAAAACUUUGAAUAAUUACAGGUAAAAAAACUUUGAAUAGUUACAGGUGAAAAAGUACUGUACUAACAAGAAGCUUCCUCCUGAGAGGUGUUCCAAUCAACUUAUCUCUAUUUCUCAAUAUAGUAGUUUAAUUGUUUAUGGGAUGAAUUGGUCAACGGGGUGAUGGGCCAUAGUAUAAGACUAUAAGUUGUAGGACUAUGUUGUUUGUAGAAAUUCACCAGCAUCUUGCAACAGAAAGGGAAGCAGUAGAUCAUCUAUGGUAUAUUAUUUAUGCUUUGGUGGUUUAUACCUCUGUCCAUCAUUCCAUGUGAUAAUUUUUUUUUCUGGAUUCCAGGUAAUUGAAGAAAAGGACUUUAGCAUACUUCCAAUAAAUAACUCUUUUAUUGCCCAGAAGAAAUAUUGCUUGGUUCAGUUUGAAACUCUACCCUAUUCCACAAGAGCAAUGCUUAUCCUGGACCUCACUAUUUAUAUUUUAGCAUUCAACUAAGUUUAUUUUCUGCCUUUUAUUUUUUAAUUAAUUGUAUGUAACCAAAUCUAGUAGUGAUUGGAUUUUUGAUGGUUUUAUAGGUGAAGCAAAUGAACAAGGGUAGAUGAAUGCGGUGAAGACCUUACUGAAGAGUAUUGGUUGAUUGCUUAUAGACUUUAAGAUGUUCUAGAAUCUUGUGUUUUAAAUUAUUUUGCAAUCUUAUGUAUUAACUCUUGAAUUGUCUAACAAUAUUAUGUAUUUUGCUUUUAUAUAUGAAUAAUAAUAAUAGUUGAAUAUGUUGGAUUCCAAUUU